rnacentral:rRNA from 1 species
UUAUAAGAGACAGCAGUAGCCACGGUAAUACGGAGGGAGCUAGCGUUGUUCGGAAUUACUGGGCGUAAAGCGCGCGUAGGCGGUUACUCAAGUCAGAGGUGAAAGCCCGGGGCUCAACCCCGGAACUGCCUUUGAAACUAGGUGACUAGAAUCUUGGAGAGGUCAGUGGAAUUCCGAGUGUAGAGGUGAAAUUCGUAGAUAUUCGGAAGAACACCAGUGGCGAAGGCGACUGACUGGACAAGUAUUGACGCUGAGGUGCGAAAGCGUGGGGAGCAAACAGGAUUAGAUACCCGUGUAGUCCCUGUCUCUUAUAC